CUUCCUGAGACAUGACUGUCUUGUUGAAUACUAUUCCUCUUAUGCUGCUGAAAAAUAUUUUAUUCAAAAUAUGACUUAUUUAACAGCUAAAAUGUCUAGGUUAUAAUUUCCUUGGUAGAAAGCAUUUUCCAUCUAUUUUUCUUUCAAUGUUCAGAUACAAGUGAAAAAAACCCAAAAAAUCCUCCAAACAUACAACCAUAAUUGCCUAACUCCAAGACCAAAAUAGCAUACAAUUUUGAGGAAAAACUGCCAUGAAAAAAAAAUAGAUGUAUUGGAAAGGACAGAAUUCAGUUAAAAGGUUGCCAGUGUACACAUUUUUCUACUUGUUCAUAAAUACUAAUUUAAUUUUCUGUUCUGUUUUGCUGACAUAUUCUAAAAAUCUCUAUCAGGAGGUGCUUUGUUGACCUUACUCUUACUUGCUAAAUUUUACAAGCAUAGUGGCAGUCGCUUCCCUUGAAAAAGACAUUGUAGAUAUUGUUGCCAGGAGUCGUUGCUAAGUGUAACCCCAUCUAUCCCAUAUGUGAUAAAUAAAGCCAGCUUUUCCAAAAAAAAAAAAAAAAAAGGAGAGAGAAAAAAAAACCCAUUGAUAUUCUCACAGUUUAGAAAAGGAGAUCAACUUUUUAAACAACCCUACCCCCACUGUUCCACCUGCAGCUUGUUAAAUAAAUGCCUGGUGAAGACACCAUCCCCCAAAUCAUCACAAGGAUCCAGGUGUUGGCCAUUUGUGCUAACAAUUUAUAGGUGAAUCCCAUCAAAAGCGUGACUCAGCAGAUUAAAAUAGGUAUUUGAAGAAGCCUGGGAGGGUGGAUGCUAGUCGUCCUCUCCUGAACAUUUGCCCAGAAGGUCGUUAAUUGCUGUGCAAAAUUUCUCCAGAAGUUUAGAAGGUGUUGGUAAUUGGUUGAAAGAUAUUAAUUUAUUUUCCAGGGUGAGAUGUCUUCCAAGAUGAACAGCAAGUUGACAACAAGUUUGUGGUGAAAGUUACAACGCUUUAAAGGACAUAUGAUCUGCUGUGCUUUUCAAAAUCCCCAAAUAGGUAAUUGCCUCUCAGUGAAGGUAGCUGAGCUUCAAGACCUAAUUUCCUCCAGUUUCCUACCAGCUUCUGAAAGGCCUGGUCUUCAGAAAUUAUCAUUGGGCAUCAGGCUCCAGGACAUACAAAUGCUCUGGUUUACAGAAACAAAGGUUCUGCCGAUAAAAUGUCAUUUGAGAGCAGGCAGAACAGCAGAAGCCAAACACUGUUUGCUUUGAGAGUUUAGAAUACAUGCAGACAUGAAUGAUAGCUGGUAAGACCUUAAUAAGUAUCUGGGGAUGUGUUAUUGCUCUGGAGUGUUCCCUGGACUUUGGUGGCAAAAUCCUCCAAGAGAUGUGUUUCUGGAAGGCAGUUUGUGUCCAAAAAUUAU
rnacentral:lncRNA from 1 species